AAAUCUGGCUCUUAUCGAGUCCGAGUUGURAUUUGUAGAGUGGGCUUCGGAUGCGGUGGUGACUCAAGUUUUUUCGARCAAGACAUCAUARAGGGUGAUAAUCCCGUCUCGGUCGUUCACCAAAUCCAUGUGAAGCUUKAUUCGACGAGUCGAGUUGUUUGGGAAUGCAGCUCAAAAUGGGUGGUAAAUUUCAUCUAAAGCUAAAUAUCAGCCAGAGACCGAUAGCGCACAAGUAGAGUGAUCGAAAGAUGAAAAGCACUUUGAAAAGAGAGUCAAAAAGCACGUGAAACUGUUUGGAGGGAAGCGCUUGUGACCAGACUCGCUCGCAGUGUUCAGCCUCCUGAAAAGGUGGUGCACUCUCUGCGUUGCGGGCCAACAUCAGUUUCGGCGGCCGGACAAAGACCCAAAGAACGUGGCUUCCCUUCGGGGGAGUGUUAUAGCUUCGGGUGCAAUGCGGCCAGCCGGGACUGAGGAAAUUGCGCUUUAUGCUCGGAUGUUGGCAUAAUGGUCAUCAGCGACCCGUCUUGAAACACGGACCAAGGAGUCGUGCAAUCACGCGAGCGUUAGGGUGUUAAACCCCUGCGCGGAAUGAAAGUGUACGUAGGUGGGAGCUGUUUGCGCACCAUCGACCGAUCCGAGUUCGCGAGGAUUUGAGUAUGAGUGUGAUUGCACGGACCCGAAAGAAGGUGAACUAUUGCUGACUAGGCCGAAGCCAGAGGAAACUCUGGUGGAGGGUCGCAGCGGUUCUGACGUGCAAAUCGAUCGUCAAAGCUGGCAAUAGGGGCGAAAGACUAAUCGAACCUUCUAGUAGCUGGUUCCUGUCGAAGUUUCCCUCAGGAUAGCAGCAACGAAAAACAGUCUCAUGAGGUAGAGCAACGAUUAGAGGCCUUGGGGUUGCAACAACCUUAACCUAUUCUCGAACUCCGAAUAUGUGAGAAGUCCUUGUUACUUAGUUGAACGUGGACAUUGGA
rnacentral:rRNA from 1 species